rnacentral:rRNA from 1 species
AUACGUAGGUGGCGAGCGUUGUCCGGAAUUAUUGGGCGUAAAGCGCGCGUAGGCGGGAUAUUAAGUCUGCUCUAAAAGUGCGGGGCUUAACUCCGUAAUGGGGUGGAAACUAAUAUUCUUGAGUGCCGGAGAGGAAAGCGGAAUUCCCAGUGUAGCGGUGAAAUGCGUAGAUAUUGGGAGGAACACCAGUGGCGAAGGCGGCUUUCUGGACGGUGUCUGACGCUGAGGCGCGAAAGCCAGGGGAGCGAACGGGAUUAGAUACCCCGGUAGUCCUGGCCGUAAACGAUGGGUACUAGGUGUAGGGGGUAUCGACCCCCCCUGUGCCGGAGUUAACGCAAUAAGUACCCCGCCUGGGGAGUACGGCCGCAAGGUUGAA